rnacentral:rRNA from 1 species
CGCCCAGACUCCUACGGGAGGCAGCAGUGGGGAAUAUUGCACAAUGGGGGAAACCCUGAUGCAGCGACGCCGCGUGAAGGAAGAAGUAUUUCGGUAUGUAAACUUCUAUCAGCAGGGAAGAAAAUGACGGUACCUGACUAAGAAGCCCCGACUAACUACGUGCCAGCAGCCGCGGUAAUACGUAGGUGGCAAGCGUUAUCCGGAUUUACUGGGUGUAAAGGGCGUGUAGGCGGGGACGCAAGUCAGAUGUGAAAGCCACGGGCUCAACCUGUGGCCUGCAUUUGAAACUGUGUUUCUUGAGUACUGGAGAGGCAGACGGAAUUCCUAGUGUAGCGGUGAAAUGCGUAGAUAUUAGGAGGAACACCAGUGGCGAAGGCGGUCUGCUGGACAGCAACUGACGCUGAGGCGCGAAAGCGUGGGGAGCAAACAGGAUUAGAUACCCGCGUAC